AACUGUGAAGUGUGCCAGCAAUUUUAAUUCAGAAACAAAAGUUUGACCCAGGUAUCAAAUGUUUGGGAAGCACUGCUCUACAACGUGAAGAAGAAGGCAGAUUUUUACAGAAAUGCAUAGCAGUUUAAAGUUACAUCAGAAUGGCUCCAUCAGAAAAAUAUUUUGAGCUUGCCAACUACAUCUGAGAUGCACAUGCUUUAUCUGUCCUGACCCUGGCCUGCGAAUUUUGAAACACACCCAAAUUCCGCUAUGCUUGCCUUAUCCAAGUUACCAGUAUGUUAACGUUCUCUUAAAACUUGUUAGGCCAGCUUUUUCAAAACUGGCUUUUUAACAGUCAUUAUCUAUUACAUAAUGUUGUAGUUUUAUUUUGAAAAAAAAUUAUUUGGAUGAAUUAGAAGUCAACUAGGUAAGCUUUAUAUUGACUGAAAGACGCAAAUAAUAAAAAAAAUUGUAACCCCAUAACAGUUAGGACUCUGUUUCGCCUUUUCCAAUUUGACCCCUCCUACAGUCCAGAAACAGAAGCACAUGGGACAGUUUCAUCCAUGUGACAUUGUGUCCGGGAGGAGCAUAGGCAGGUCUGAACUGGGAAGGGCUGCACAGCAUAAGGCUGUUCCUGCCCACUUCAGGCUGAUCAAAGUCCUAAUGCAACAGGAGCACAGACACGUGCCACAGCCCUUCCUAGGCUGCCUUUGCAGCAGGCAUGGAGCAGUUUUAUCUCGAGGCAGCAACACCUACCUACCAGGUCUGAAGCACUGAGGAACUUGAUUCUGCAUCCUGAGGAACAAUCCCUUGCUGAAAAGAGUGAUCACUCAAGCAUGUCUGGCACAGUGAAGACUCAAGCUCUGACUCCCCUUGAGACCCCUGACAGUAAUCUAACUUCACGUUGGAUACAAGCUUUCAUCUUAAACUUGGUAAAAGGAAGCACGGCAUAUAAAUAAGCAGAGAGUACUUCCAGCAUCAGCAGCUCCACUCCACCUCAUUUACAAAAGACAGAUGGUUUUGCAGCGCACACUGAAUCCCAGAAAUGAGGCAAUGAAGGGAGCUUGGUAUCCUGGGCACAUACCAAAUAGCAUACCUGAUGCAGAGAGCCUGAGAGCUGAACUGAGGUGUAUCCUAGGACCACUCUAAGGAAGGAUGGACUUGAAGAACUGGGUGGUUCACUGACUGUCAGCCAAUCAUCGUGGGAUUUCAUUAUGCUUUUUUUUUUUUUAAACACGAAGACAUUUACCUUUAUCACCAUGAAAACAUAAAUUAAUCAUCAUUAAUUAAAUCCCUGUCUCAAUCUAUUCCACCUUAGUUACUUGAUAUCUUGUUAAAGUUUAAUAGUGUUUCACUGGACAAACCCCACAUUAAAGAAAUACAGUAAGAGUCAUCUUUUCUUUCUUUGAUUCUAUAACUGACCAAAACACUAAACAGAUUUUUAGAACAGACAUUCAAUGUGCCAAGUCCUUUUGAAAUAUCUCACCCUUCAUGAAUGUUUCUUGAUGGUUCAGGUAAGAACCUUCCUGCUGCUCCUCAUAUCAAGAACUUAGCUUAAUAACAUUAUGUUAUUUCUCUCUGCCAUUGUUUGAAAAUCUCUGGGUGCCUUAGCACAGAUGAACAUAGAGUAAUAACUGAACAAUAAUAAAUAUCUGAUUAAUCCAGAGCAGAAAGUAAAAUAAAAGAACACACCUCCCAAACCCUCUCUCUAUUCACCAGAUGACAAGCAAAGUAAAUAGGUUGUAUUAUUUUUAUUACAAAAGGCCUGACCAAGGCUCGUGUGCCUCUCAUGCGAGGCCCUGUAAAACCAAAAAGUAAGGGCUGGUGUAUGUUCCUUUUAUGUUGUUACCAGGAGCACUGCUCUGAAGUAUGUCCUGCCCGCUUGCCUCCUUAUUUUCCAGAGAUGCAGAUGCAUAGCCACCUAAGAGAAAGCCUGGGCAGAUGCCAUUAAGCACACCUGAGACAGAGAGCCUAAGGUCAGCUUUUGGAAUGUGUUCAGAUUUUUUUAAUGCAGUUAUACUGCCAUAUAUCUAGAAGUUAUUGUUGCUGCUGCUGCUGCUGCUGCUAUCUGUCUCCUUCUCCUUAUAUUCAAUAUUUAAUUCUGCAAGCCCUGUCUUAAAAAAACAAUGUUUAAAAUCACAGCCUUUAAAUACCGUUUGUUCAGUAGUUAUGUAUUACAUAUUAAUUUAAUAAAUGCAUAUAUACAU